rnacentral:rRNA from 1 species
UACAGAGGGUGCGAGCGUUGUCCGGAAUCACUGGGCGUAAAGGGCGCGUAGGUGGCCUGGUAAGUAGGGGGUGAAAUCUCGCGGCUCAACUGCGAGGCUGCCUCCUAAACUGUCAGGCUCGAGCAGAGUAGAGGCAGGUGGAAUUCCCGGUGUAGCGGUGGAAUGCGUAGAGAUCGGGAAGAACAUCGGUGGCGAAGGCGGCCUGCUGGGCUCUUGCUGACACUGAGACACGAAGGCCAGGGGAGCAAACGGG